rnacentral:rRNA from 1 species
AUUGAACGCUGGCGGCAUGCCUUACACAUGCAAGUCGAACGGCAGCACGGGAGCAAUCCUGGUGGCGAGUGGCGAACGGGUGAGUAAUAUAUCGGAACGUGCCCAGUCGUGGGGGAUAACGUAGCGAAAGCUACGCUAAUACCGCAUACGAUCUAUGGAUGAAANCGGGGGAUCGCAAGACCUCGCGCGAUUGGAGCGGCCGAUAUCAGAUUAGGUAGUUGGUGAGGUAAAGGCUCGCCAAGCCGACGAUCUGUAGCUGGUCUGAGAGGACGACCAGCCACACUGGGACUGAGACACGGCCCAGACUCCUACGGGAGGCCAGCAGUGGGGAAUUUUUGGACAAUGGGCGCAAGCCUGAUCCAGCAAUGCCGCGUGCAGGAUGAAGGCCUUCGGUUGUAAC